UACGUAGGGUGCGAGCGUUGUCCGGAAUUAUUGGGCGUAAAGAGCUCGUAGGCGGUGUGUCACGUCGGCCGUGAAAACCUGCAGCUUAACUGUGGGCGUGCGGUCGAUACGGGCAUCACUGGAGUUCGGCAGGGGAGACUGGAAUUCCUGGUGUAGCGGUGAAAUGCGCAGACUAUCAGGAGGAACACCGGUGGCGAAGGCGGCCUUCUGGACGGUGACUGGACG
rnacentral:rRNA from 1 species